AGGAAAGGACAUGACUCCUCUGGAUGCUGUCAUAUACUAAAACCUUGAGGGAAUUGUUUCUUUGCAGAUACUGCAGUCUUCAAGACAAAAGUUUAAAGAGAAGAAGAGAAUUUAGACGAUGGGACAGACAUGAUGCACAGACCAUAACAGGUCUCUGGAACAGAUUUUGAUCUCUAAGUUUGUUUAUCGCCAAUCUCCUGACUAAAUUCCAGCUAAAAGCUGGAUUUUAGCCAGGAGCCUGGCUGGCAAAAUCCCUCAGUGCAGACCUUUUUAUGUCAUCUAUGAACCAAUAAGAAGAGAGAUCUCAAACCAAGGACCAUUAACAACAACCAAACCUGGCUCAUUAUGACUGGUUGCCACAGCAACAAUGCAGCUGCUUUUGCCUAGAUUCUAGCUGUAUACACGAAAGCCUCCAUUUCUAUGUUUGGUUUUUUUAUUGUGACUUUUUGCUGUCAAGUGCU